UCACUCGCAUCCCUACAAGCCACUCUAUUGAAACUCACACAAACUCUAUUGGAUCACACACAAAAAAGACAAGAGGGUAGGAGAGGGUGGAAAGAGGAAGGGCGUUAGUGUGUGUGUGGGGGAGGGGGGCAAGAGGAAUGUUUGAGUAUCACCCGAUACGUAUGAAAAUGUUAUAAUGAGACCUAUUAUGUAUAAUUAGCAUACGAUAAUAAAAAGGAAGAAAAAAUGAUACAACAACAAAAACACAUGCUCAAAAGGUGACAGACCAAAGGUUGCAGACCAGCCUCUCCCUCCCUGCCCUGUCUGAAGUGAGCUACCUCCACCAGCAUCUUGAGGCGGGUGACCCUCUGGAACGGGCAGGUAGACCCUGCGGAAUGCAGGGCAAUGGUGCAGGACCACAUCGCACACGCUGAAGCGCAGCACAUCGGCCUCUAGACGCUGUUCCAGGUCGUGAAGGAAUCUGCCGGGAGAGCCAAGGUCAAGGACAGCACCCCUACAGACCCACUCAGGCAGGCCAGGUCACUCCCUCACCUCUCACUGGUGCUCUUGACCUCGGGCAGUUUGGAAAAUAGCCACUGCUUGUCCUGAGUCCCCAGACACUCGCUCAGCUCCACAGAACCUAAGAAGUGACCCACGGCCACCGACAGGCUAUGGAUGUAGGAGGCCUCCGAGCCCUUCGGAUAAUCUGGCGCCAGGUGGAGCCCGGGCACACCCUAAGCUGCCAGCUGACAAGCUCCCUGAUGUUUGCAGUCGCGCAGGCUCAGCGUGGCCAGGACGCCGCUGCCGCGCACGUCGGGGAUGUCCUGCCACAGCGAGAAGGUGGAGCCUCGGGUCGAGCGCUGCGCGCGGAAAGAGCUGCUCGGGGAGAGGUUGGCGCGCGGUGGCCCGGGCCCCUCCUCCGCGCCCUCCGCCCCGUCCCCGGGGCCCUCCUCCUCGCGCUGCUGCCGCCGCAACUCGCGCGCGCUGGCCACGUCGCUGUACUCCUGGUAGAGGACAGCUGGGAGGGGCGGGAGCAGGAGCUCAUUCACCCUUGCCAGAAACACUAAUUGGGCACCAACUACACGCCAGCCCACAUGCUCGUCCCUGGGAGUGCGAUUCUCUCCCUCACAAACUGUCUCUACCUCCCAACU